UACGGGGGGAGCAAGCGUUGUUCGGAUUUACUGGGCGUAAAGGGCGCGUAGGCGGCGUGGUAAGUCACUUGUGAAAUCUCCGGGCUUAACUCGGAACGGUCAAGUGAUACUGCUGCGCUAGAGUGCGGAAGGGGCAACUGGAAUUCUCGGUGUAGCGGUGAAAUGCGUAGAUAUCGAGAGGAACACCUGCGGCGAAGGCGGGUUGCUGGGCCGACACUGACGCUGAUGCGCGAAAGCCAGGGGAGCGAACGGG
rnacentral:rRNA from 1 species